GUGCUCCCCCGCCAAUUCCUUUAAGUUUCAGCCUUGCGACCGUACUCCCCAGGCGGCGAGCUUAACGGCUUCCCUGCGACACUUCGAUCGCGAACUGCGAUCGAAUCAUCUAGCUCGUAUCGUUUACGGCUGGGACUACCCGGGUAUCUAAUCCGGUUCGCUCCCCCAGCUUUCACCCCUCACCGUCGAGCGCGUUCUGGCGGACCGCCUUCGCCACUGGUGGUCUUCCGCGGAUCAAAGGAUUUUACCCCUACACGCGGAGUACCGUCCGCCUCUCCCGCCUCCUAGUCCUGCAGUAUCCUCUGCAGACCAGCCGUUGAGCGACUGGAUUUAACAGAGGACUUACAGAACCGGCUACGGGUGCUUUAGGCCCAAUAAUCGUCCCGACCACUCGAGGAGCUGGUAUUACCGCGGCGGCUGACACCAGACUUGCCCUCCCCUUAUUCCCCGGCCGUUUUAGAGCCGAGAAAAGCUCCCUUUAGCAGGAAGUACUCGGACUAGCCUCGUCACGCUUUCGCGCAUUGCGAAGUUUUCGCGCCUGCUGCACCCCGU
rnacentral:rRNA from 1 species